rnacentral:misc_RNA from 3 species
AACGCAUAUUGCGCCCCUUGGUAUUCCUUGGGGCACACCUGUUCGAGCGUCAUUUCACCAAUCAAGCCUCGCUUGGUUUUGGGCGAUGCGCACGUCGCACGCCUCAAAUGCCCCGGCCGAGCAGUCUCUCACCCGGCGUCGUGGAAACAUACCGCUACGGAGACGAGACCUGCCCGUGCCGCAGAAUAACAUUUAACAAAGGUUGACCUCGGAUCAGGUGGGGAUACCCGCUGAACUUAA